CAUGAAGCCCCCCUCAAGAUGAGAUUUCCCAACUUCGGUUAUAAGAUCCCUCAAAGAUGAUGAGGUUAAUAGGUUCGAGGUGGAAGCAUGGUGACAUGUGGAGCUGACGAAUACUAAUCGAUCGAAGACUUAAUCAAAA
rnacentral:rRNA from 2 species